UAAGGAAUAUUGGUCAAUGGAGGCAACUCUGAACCAGCCAUGCCGCGUGAACGAUGAAGGCCCUAUGGGUCGUAAAGUUCUUUUGUACGGGAAAAAACCUAUCUAUGUAUAGAUAGCUGAUGGUACCGUAAGAAUAAGGAUCGGCUAACUCCGUGCCAGCAGCCGCGGUAAUACGGAGGAUCCAAGCGUUAUCCGGAUUCAUUGGGUUUAAAGGGUGCGUAGGCGGCUUAUUAAGUCAGCGGUGAAAUCCUAGGGCUUAACCCUAGAACUGCCAUUGAUACUGAUGAGCUUGAGUACACUUGAAGUGGGCGGAAUGUGUCGUGUAGCGGUGAAAUGCUUAGAUAUGACACAGAACACCGAUUGCGAAGGCAGCUCACUAAAUUGUCACUGACGCUGAGGCACGAAAGCGUGGGGAUCAAACAGGAUUAGAUACCCCGGUAGUCC
rnacentral:rRNA from 1 species